UAUGAUACCUGGCUGUUUUAACUGAUUUCAUCUUUCUAUGUCCUAGGAGAAAUGACUGUGAAAAAUAGAAAAAAAUGCCAUAACAUUUUUCUGUGGAAUGGAUAAUAUGAGAAUUAACUUCCUUCUUCAUUCUGAUGUAAGGGAAAAAACCCCAGGCUUUCAGUCAAAUUCUCAUCUACUGUAAGUUUAAAAUCUUAAUCCCUGAGUAAUACCUCCGCCUGCCUCGUGAUUUUCUUUGGAGAGGUUCCAGCGCUGACCAAUCUUGACCCUAUUUGACUUAAGAGGCAGUGGCCAGAUAUGCCUGUAAUGGCACCAAAGAGCUGAGGCUUUACAAUAUACAAAGGCAUAUUAUCUCUUUGCUAAACCAGCCAAAUGAUUCAGGACAGCAAAAUAGUUCUCCAGGAAUGAUUUCAGGCCAUUGUGUAGCAACAGCUCCGAGUUGCCACGUAGGGCUGCGUUUGAACCGCUGACCUAGGAGCAAAAUAAAUUACGUGUAGGCUGAGGUAUGGAGAUGGGACAAUUCCAGUUUC
rnacentral:lncRNA from 1 species